AAGUGUUUUAUAUGCUUAAAAUAUGAAGGUCUUACACUUUAUAAAUGGAAGCCAAGCUUGUGCUAUAUUUUUAUAGGUGAAGUCUUGAAGUCCAGGGACAAAAGCACUAGUUAACUUCUGGGAGCUUUGGUUCCCUCUGUUGUAAUCUCCUGUAGGGUGUAUGCCACAGGUGUGUCUCUUCAAUGAUGUCCCACUGGAUAUGCUGUUAAUUACCUCCUUUUUGCCAUACUUUUCUGCUAGUUUCUGGUAAGUUCCCAAUUUUAGAUCUCACUGGGCUGAGCUUGAAGAAGACUUGACCUCUGGGAUACUGCAGUUGCACAGUUCUAUUAGCCAACACUGUCGUACAUCUUCUAAAACACACUUAAUCUUCACACUAAUCCUGUGAGGGAGUUUUUUAUAGAUGUUCGUUGUUUUGAGACUCCCAUUUUUUGAAAGCUUUUUUUUUACCCUCUUAUAUUCCUGCCUGGUUCUCUGAUCUCUGCUCUUCAGUACAACCCUUCUCUGCCUUGGUUGGUCAGUUUUGCUCUGUUGCAUUCAAGAAAUAAAUUACUUAAAGACGAGGAAAAUCAGUCUCAUUGAGCCUACAUAACUUGCUCAGGGUCUCACAUCUUACAAAUGGCAGAGUUGGGAUCAUAAUUCAUCUCUUGGCUCAAAGCCAGUGUGUUUAACCACACUAAUCUUAGAUGCAUCAGCAGACUUUUAGAUUUUCCAAGCCACGUAUUGUUAGAUAUAUAGAUCUGUAUGUUGUUUGAUAAUUGAAAAGUAACAUAAAUGAAUUUCAUUAUUUUAAUACCCUGUAAAAAUGUGUUUUUUGAGAUAUGAUUUAAUUUAAUGCUAGUAGCAUUUAUUGAAGAAAGCAUUUGUUUUUUGGUGUGUGUGUGGGGGGGGGUUGUUUGUUUGUCUGUUUGUUUUUUUUGAGAUGGAGUCUCGCUCUGUUGCCCAGGCUGUGCAGUGGUGCGAUCUCGGCUCACUGCAACCUCUGCCUCCCGGGUUCAAGAGAUUCUCCUGCGUCAGCCUCCUAAGUAGCUGGGAUAAUAGGCACCCACCA
rnacentral:lncRNA from 1 species